CAACUCUCAACAACGGAUAUCUUGGCUCCCGUAUCGAUGAAGAACGCAGCGAAAUGCGAUACGUAGUGUGAAUUGCAGAAUUCCGUGAACCAUCGAAUCUUUGAACGCAAAUUGCGCCCGCGGCUUCGGCCAAAGGCAUGUCUGCCUCAGCGUCGG
rnacentral:rRNA from 1 species